CACGUAGGGCGCAAGCGUUGUCCGGAAUUAUUGGGCGUAAAGAGCUCGUAGGCGGUCUGUUGCGUCCGCUGUGAAACUCGGGGCUUAACCCCGAGCCUGCAGUGGAUACGGGCAGACUAGAGGUAGGUAGGGGAGAAUGGAAUUCCCGGUGUAGCGGUGAAUGCGCAGAUAUCGGGAGGAACACCGGUGGCGAAGGCGGUCUCUG
rnacentral:rRNA from 1 species